UAUGCAAAUGAACCCUUACAUAUUACUUCUAGAAACCCGUUUAUCAACUCUCCAGCCCCCAGAGAGAAGUAUUCAUAAAUGUGAAAUUUGAAAUCCAUUUUUCCUAUGGCCGUGGUGUCUAGACUUUGUCCUUACGCACAAACCGUUAUUCCACAACACGAAGAUUGCUGGCUCCACGGGACAGGGAGAUUCUGCAGUCUUCUGAUGGAUAGUAUUAAAGCUGAAGACUGAAAGAUACUUUGGUGGUAUAGCUGGGAACAGAUUCUGUAACAAGAGGAACAAGUCGAUUCAACCAGUCCCCAUUUUAUCACCAACUGUAGCUACAAGCCAUGGCUUAGGUCACCACACAAGUUACUGCUUCAUAUGUUAAGGGUAGAGAUAAAUGCACCCUCCGGUCCCCAUUAAGGGUGACAUUUGCCUUCACCAAUCCUAGUCGUGCGUUAGAAACAUUUACAUCUAGAAGAGAAUUCUUAACCCUCAUUCUUCUGCAAUCUCUCCAACAAACUCACACAGCUGCAUCCGGAUCUGGGAAACGUUAUGACCCUAAAAUAAUACCAACUGACAAAAGAGAAAUCAAAGGCCAAGGACCUGAGACCGUGGACACCAGCCAAAUUCUGUCAAAGGAUGGUCUAGACCAGUGGCUCUCCAGGUGAGGCUCCCGGACCCAAGGCAUCAACAUCACCUGGGAACUUGUUAGAAAUGCACGUUCUAGGCCCUACCCCGGACCUGGCGAGUCAAAAUCUCUGAGGGCGGGGCCUGCAGCUUUGGACUCUGGGUCUGACUCAGACAUUAGAGUGAAGAGGAAGGAGAGAAAAGAGGGAAGACACCACGAUGAAGAAAAGAAAACAAACUUUAAAAAUAUGCCCAACCACAUAUAAGUUGAACUGUUAAGAAAUUGUCAUUUUUGGGGAUGCCUGGGUGGCUCGGACAGUUAAGCAUCCAACUUCAG